rnacentral:rRNA from 1 species
GACGAACGCUGGCGGCGUGCCUAAUACAUGCAAGUCGAACGCAUUUUCUUUCACCGUAGCUUGCUACACCGAAAGAAAAUGAGUGGCGAACGGGUGAGUAACACGUGGGUAACCUGCCCAUCAGCGGGGGAUAACACUUGGAAACAGGUGCUAAUACCGCAUAAUUCCAUUUACCGCAUGGUAGAUGGGUGAAAGGCGCUUUUGCGUCACUGAUGGAUGGACCCGCGGUGCAUUAGUUAGUUGGAGGGGUAGCGGCCUACCAAGGCUGGGAUGCAUAGCCGACCGUAGAUGGUGAUCAGCCGAUGUGGGACUGAGACAAGGCCCAGACUCCUACGGGAGGCGGCAGUAGGGAAGCUUCGGCAAUGGACGCAAGGCUGAACGAGCAACGCCGGGUGAGGGAAGAAGGUUUUCGGAUCGUAAAAAUCGGUUGUUAGAGAAGAACAAGGAUGAGAGUGGAAAGUUCAUCUCUUGACGUUAUCUAACCAGAAAGCCACGGCUAACUACGUG